rnacentral:rRNA from 1 species
GCCACGGCCAUACCAGCCUGUGUACGCCCGAUCUCGUCUGAUCUCGGAAGCUAAGCAGGGUCGGGCCUGGUUAGUACUUGGAUGGGAGACCGCCUGGGAAUACCAGGUGCUGUAAGCA